rnacentral:rRNA from 1 species
AGAGUUUGAUCCUGGCUCAGAACGAACGCUGGCGGCAGGCUUAACACAUGCAAGUCGAACGCACCUUUCGGGGUGAGUGGCAGACGGGUGAGUAACGCGUGGGAAUCUACCCUUCUCUACGGGAUAGCUCCGGGAAACUGGAAUUAAUACCGUAUACGUCCUGAGGGAGAAAGAUUUAUCGGGGAAGGAUGAGCCCGCGUUGGAUUAGCUAGUUGGUGGGGUAAAGGCCUACCAAGGCGACGAUCCAUAGCUGGUCUAAGAGGAUGAUCAGCCACAUUGGGACUGAGACACGGCCCAAACUCCUACGGGAGGCAGCAGUGGGGAAUAUUGGACAAUGGGCGCAAGCCUGAUCCAGCCAUGCCGCGUGAGUGAUGAAGGCCCUAGGGUUGUAAAGCUCUUUCAGUGGGGACGAUAAUGACGGUACCCACAGAAGAAGCCCCGGCUAACUUCGUGCCAGCCGCCGCGGUAAUAC